rnacentral:lncRNA from 10 species
CUGGCCAGUAUAUCCUGAACAAGCCCAGAAUGCUGAAAUCCGAUCACCCCUCUCUGUUACUUAGGUUUGCUUUCAGUUCUACCUUGUCUGUAAUCCCACCCCUUUAGAAAACAUUCCAUCAUUGUUUCAUGUUGUUUUACUUUUACAAACAUAUUUAUCAACUUCACAUCUGCCUCUUCAAUCUCACUCCUUCCUUCUUGGUUCAAUUUUCUUCUUUCUGAAUGGCAGGCGAUUCCUUUGUUCAGUGAGGGUCUAUGAUUAACAAACUCAGACCCUGAGUUUACUAGCAUGAAUCUUUAUAUAUUUUAAUUAUCAUUAUCUAAUAAACAUAUGUAAGUAGUUAAAAAUUUAAAUAGUGCUAAAAGUAGUAGUCUCCUGUUCCUCACUUCCCCAGACAUAACAAUUUCCAACUGUUUUUUCUUCCUGAGCUAUUCCGUAUGGUAUUUAACUCCAAGUUUCUAAAUAGUAUGCUUAUAAUACUCUCUUAAUUCAUUAAUUUACAAUACUAUUAACUGUAUAUUAUAGUAGCAGACUGAGCGCUCUUAAGCCUUCCCAUUCCCCUUUUCCUCCUCCAUUUGUAUAUCAUAUUUUGUAAAAUAUUCAAAUUUUACAUAUUUCAAUUUUGUUAAAAAUGGUUCUUUGGAAUUCUAUGAUUACACUUCCUAGUUUAAACAACUUUUCAUUUUUCCUGGAGUUAGUAAUCACUUAAUUUUUUUCCUGAGUCUUCUUUGAACUGAUCUCUAAUUUUUUCCACACCCUUCAAUAGCUUCUCAGUAUAACACCCCAGUCAGCCAAAUAUUUCAGACAGGGUGCCUCAUUUUGGAGCUAUGAUUAUGUGCCUAAAUCCAGAUGCUUUUGGAUUUAACUUCUCCAAGGGGGGGAAAAAUCCCACCUCUUGAGGGAGUGACAGAGAAGUUGCUUUACACUAUCCCCUUUUACUAUCUUUUGUGUCACCUAAUAUAUCAUAUUUUUCAUCUCAGUUCUCAGGGCUUCAUUCUGGCUGAUUUUCUUUGAUCUUCCAGUUUAUUAAUUCUAUCUUUGGCUGUGUCCACUGUGCUAUUUAAUUAGUGUUUAAUUUCAAAGACUAUAUUUUUCAUUUCUAGUCUGUCUUUUUUUACUGUUGUUUUUCAUAGUGGUUUCUUUUUCACUGUGGCUCCUAUUUAUUCUCUAUUUCUUUUCUUAUUGUAAGCAUAUGUAUUUGAUAGAAACCUUUAUAUUUAUAUCUUAUUUCUAGUUCUUCAUUUGUUGAAUCUGCUGACUUUAUUCUAGUCUAUUUCUUCAUGUGAUCUGGAGAUUUUUCAUUGUGAGUUUAUACUUAACAGGAUGCUUUUCCACUCCUUACAGAGUGAUUUUUUAUUUGCUUCUAUCAAUAUUCCAAUGACUCUAAUGGCCUGGAGAGGGGAAAAUAUGUUCGCUUUUAGCUCCAGGAUUCCCAAAUCCUCUGGAUUUAUCUAUGGGCAGGACUUCGAGGAGGCUUCCCUUAAUCAGAGUCUUAGCUCUCGCCUGAAGCAAAUGCAAGCCUGUCACAUCUCUGCCCUUAAAUUGAGAAUUGAAACUCCAGCCCUCCGUGUCUUAGCCCAAAUGUUGCCUUUUUGGCCUGCCUCGCCCUGCUAUCCUGUGCCCAUAUAAACCCCAGACCCCAGCUGGCAAAGAGAAAAGUGGCUGAACACCAAGAGAAGAAGCAACAGAGCAUUGGAGACUAUAGAUAGAUGUGGCUUAACUUUAGAUGGCAUGACUUCAGAGAGGAGCCCGGUCGUCUCUGGGAAAGAUCACCUUCAUCCUACACCAUCCCCUCUCCAGCUCCUGAUUCUCUGAGAGCCACUUCCACUGCUUAAUAAAAUCCUCUGCAUUCAUCACCUUUCAAACAGUUCAUGUGAUCUGAUUCUUCUGGAUGCCAAACAAGAACUUGGGUAUCAAAGGGGCAGGUGCAGAAGGCUGUCACCCUGACCUACCACUGAGCUGUCAACACUUAGCCAUCCAUAGACAGCAAAUUGUAUACAUUUGCUAAAUUUACAAAAACUAAAAUUGUAGCUAAAACUGUAACACACCCGUAGAAUGCUGCCAUGGGGCUGGAGCCCAAAAGCGCUUGGCCCGGCCCUGGCACCCAC